rnacentral:rRNA from 1 species
AUGACGUCAAGUCAUCAUGGCCCUUACGAGUAGGGCUACACACGUGCUACAAUGGCAUAUACAAAGAGAAGCGACCUCGCGAGAGCAAGCGGACCUCAUAAAGUAUGUCGUAGUCCGGAUUGGAGUCUGCAACUCGACUCCAUGAAGUCGGAAUCGCUAGUAAUCGUGGAUCAGAAUGCCACGGUGAAUACGUUCCCGGGCCUUGUACACACCGCCCGUCACACCAUGGGAGUGGGUUGCAAAAGAAGUAGGUAGCUUAACCUUCGGGAGGGCGCUUACCACUUUGUGAUUCAUGACUGGGGUGAAGUCGUAGC